UAAGUGAAGAAGCUAUUCAUGUAGAGCAGAGAGGCCACUAGCACAUGCUACACAAAAAUGACUUCAAACUUUGCACAAGGAUGGCUUUCCAAGUGACUCCUGAAAUCUGCAUCCCCUUUGAAGCUGAAGGUACAUGAUUCAGGGAUGUGAACUUUGAAACAACAGCAAACUUCAAGGCCUCAAGGGUUAAAUUGCUAGACCUGCCAAUUGGCAUUAAAAUAAUGAGUUGUCAUUAGUUAUUUCAUGACAUGUUUCUUGAAACGAUAGAAUCAGCUAAAAUGGGAAGAGCCAUAAUGGAUAUAGUCUUGUUUGAAUAAACUGCUCCAUGAAUACUUAUAGGAGAAGAAAAUAAGAAGAUAUAAUGGAUUGAGCAUCUCACAUAUGUUAAACUCAACUCAUCACCUCAGCUUUUGGAAACAUUAGAUGGGAGAAGUUCCAUAAAACUUGAAGUCCAUAAGUUGAUUUUAAUUGAUAGGAAAAAUUCAAUUCAUUACAUCUUUCACCUCAGCUUUUUUUUUUUUUGGCAGCUUUUAUUCAGCUUAUGAUUGAUAAGUGACCAAGAGAUGCCAUAAAGUUUGAUGGGAAACAAUUAUCAUACCAGAUGAUGAAAACUUGUAAUAGGACUAUAGCCUAGAAAAAAUAACUAAUCAAAGUAAACAGUAUACCUCAAGUAAA